rnacentral:lncRNA from 1 species
GCGAUCGAAGCUCCACUACUAGAAAUAUAAGUACUGGUAGCAGUUCACGGUAACACGAAUUCACCAACUGCUACUAAAAGUGUCAAAAUUCAGAUCCUAAUUCUAUCGUAGCAUUAAAUCAACGCUAUACAGGACUUUCAUUAAGCGGGAAAUCAAAAACCCAUUUUAGAACCAAUUUUGUUUUGGUAACACUUUAAACCGCCAAUACUUACCGAAAAAUUAGUUUUUACACGAAAACUUUUUUUUUUUUUUUUGGGGAAAUUUAUAUUUUUGCCAAGUCCUUUUUCAUCUCAACAAAAAAAUUUCACUCAUUCAUAUCUAGAAAAAAAGAGUUUGAUUCUUUUACACUCGAUAUAUUGAUCUCAAACCCAGACUCAGGCACAACUCCAGCGAAGAAGCAUCUCCUCUAUUACCCCUAUAUGUUUAGAAAAAAUCUCUAGAGGACCCAAUCUAUUUUUUUAUAAAUUUAUUUUCUUUUAAUUCAUAAAUUAAGACAUUUACUGAUUUACCCUUAUGCUUUCUAACCUAAUCUAAUAAACACAACCGCCAACAAUUUUUUUUCUUUCAUUUUCUUCUUUCUUCUCUUCUUUUCUUCCUUCUUCUCUUUCUUUUCUCUGCAAAUUUUCCCGUUCUUCAUCUCUUCUUUAAUCUUCUUUCUCUUUUUCUCUACAUAAUAUCAAAUCGGAUCUGC